UACGUAGGUGGCAAGCGUUGUCCGGAAUUAUUGGGCGUAAAGCGCGCGCAGGCGGCCUUUUAAGUCUGAUGUGAAAGCCCACGGCUCAACCGUGGAAGGUCAUUGGAAACUGAAAGGCUUGAGUACAGAAGAGGAAAGCGGAAUUCCACGUGUAGCGGUGAAAUGCGUAGAGAUGUGGAGGAACACCAGUGGCGAAGGCGCUUUCUGGUCUGUAACUGACGCUGAGGCGCGAAAGCGUGGGGAGCAAGCAGG
rnacentral:rRNA from 1 species